rnacentral:rRNA from 1 species
UACGUAGGUGGCGAGCGUUAUCCGGAUUUACUGGGUGUAAAGGGCGUGUAAGCGGUUGGCAAGUCGGUGUGAAAGAUCCAGGCUUAACUUGGAGAGGUCAUCCGAAACUGCAGAUCUUGAGUGCUGGAGAGGAUAGUGGAAUUCCUGGUGUAGCGGUAAAAUGCGUAGAUAUCAGGAGGAACACCAGUGGCGAAGGCGGCUAUCUGGACAGUAACUGACGCUGAGGCGCGAAAGCGUGGGGAGCAAACAGGAUUAGAUACCCCGGUA